rnacentral:rRNA from 1 species
UACGAAGGGUGCAAGCGUUAAUCGGAAUUACUGGGCGUAAAGGGUGCGUAGGCGGUUCGUUAAGUCUGUCGUGAAAUCCCCGGGCUCAACCUGGGAAUGGCGAUGGAUACUGGCGAGCUAGAGUGUGUCAGAGGAUGGUGGAAUUCCCGGUGUAGCGGUGAAAUGCGUAGAGAUCGGGAGGAACAUCAGUGGCGAAGGCGGCCAUCUGGGACAACACUGACGCUGAAGCACGAAAGCGUGGGGAGCGAACAGG